rnacentral:rRNA from 1 species
UAUUGCACAAUGGAGGAAACUCUGAUGCAGUGACACCGCGUAUAGGAAGAAGGUUUUCGGAUUGUAAACUAUUUUAGACAGGGAAGAAAAAAGACAGUACCUGUAGAAUAAGCUCCGGCUAACUACGUGCUAGCAGCCGCGGUAAUACGUAGGGAGCAAGCGUUAUCCGGAAUUAUGGGUUGUAAAGGGUGCGUAGACGGGAAAUUAAGUUAGUUGUGAAAUCCCUCGGCUUAACUGAGGAACUGCAACUAAAACUGAUUUUCUUGAGUACUGGAGAGGAAAGUGGAAUUCCUAGUGUAGCGGUGAAAUGCGUAGAUAUUAGGAGGAACACCAGUGGCGAAGGCGACUUUCUGGACAGUAACUGACGUUGAGGCACGAAAGUGUGGGGAGCAAAC